rnacentral:rRNA from 1 species
CUACGGGGGGCAGCAGUGAGGAAUAUUGCACAAUGGGGGGAACCCUGAUGCAGCAACGUCGCGUGGAGGAUGACGCAUUUCGGUGUGUAAACUCCUUUUAUAUGUCAAGAAAAUGACGGUAGCAUAUGAAUAAGCACCGGCUAACUCCGUGCCAGCAGCCGCGGUAAUACGGAGGGUGCAAGCGUUACUCGGAAUCACUGGGCGUAAAGGACGCGUAGGCGGGCUGGAAAGUCAGGUGUGAAAUCCUACAGCUUAACUGUAGAACUGCACUUGAAACUUCUAAUCUAGAGUAUGGGAGGGGGAGAUGGAAUUAGUGGUGUAGGGGUAAAAUCCGUAGAUAUCACUAGGAAUACCUAAAGCGAAGGCGAUCUCCUGGAACAUUACUGACGCUAAGGCGUGAAAGCGUGGGGAGCAAACAGGAUUAGAUACCCCAGUAGUC